rnacentral:rRNA from 1 species
UCUUCCGCAAUGGACGAAAGUCUGACGGAGCAACGCCGCGUGAGUGAGGAAGGUCUUCGGGUCGUAAAACUCUGUUGCCGGGGAAGAACAAGUGCCGUUCGAACAGGGCGGCACCUUGACGGUACCCGGCCAGAAAGCCACGGCUACCUACGUGCCAGCAGCCGCGGUAAUACGUAGGUGGCAAGCGUUGCCCGGAAUUAUUGGGCGUAGAGCGGGCGCAGGCGGCUUCUUAAGUCUGAUGUGAAAUCUUGCGGCUCAACCGCAAGCGGUCAUUGGAAACUGGGAGGCUUGAGUGCAGAAGAGGAGAGUGGAAUUCCACGUGUAGCGGUGAAAUGCGUAGAGAUGUGGAGGAACACCAGUGGCGAAGGCGGCUCUCUGGUCUGUAACUGACGCUGAGGCGCGAAAGCGUGGGGAGCAAACAGG